GUGCUCUCUUCCCCAGCACACAUACCAACACUGGAAUGACACAGCGAAGGUUAGCAAAGCCCCUGAGCAAGGAUGACAUGCAAAUCUGUGAAGUUACCAAAGGGGAA
ensembl:snRNA U6 U6 spliceosomal RNA